ACGGGUGAGUAACACGUGGAUAACCUACCUAUAAGACUGGGAUAACUUCGGGAAACCGGAGCUAAUACCGGAUAAUAUAUUGAACAGCAUGGUUCAAUAGUGAAAGACGGUUUUGCUGUCACUUAUAGAUGGAUCCGCGCCGCAUUAGCUAGUUGGUAAGGUAACGGCUUACCAAGGCAACGAUGCGUAGCCGACCUGAGAGGGUGAUCGGCCACACUGGAACUGAGACACGGUCCAG
rnacentral:rRNA from 1 species